UUUUCGUUUUUCCAUGUCCAACGUUUAACCAUUCGUCUUAUUUGAAAUUUCUUUACAAUUAAUAUUUUUAUUCUUACUAUAUAAUAAAACAUAAAUAGUACUUUAUGCGUGACUAAUUCUUUUAAGUUUUUUACAAAUUUUUCAAAUAAGACGAAUGGUCAAACGUUGGAUACGAAAAAAC
rfam:Oryza brachyantha chromosome 3, whole genome shotgun sequence.